rnacentral:rRNA from 1 species
UACGUAGGGUGCGAGCGUUGUCCGGAAUUAUUGGGCGUAAAGAGCUCGUAGGCGGUUUGUCGCGUCUGCCUGUGAAAACGCGAGGCUCAACCUCGCGCCUGCAGUGGGUACGGGCAGACUGGAGUGCGGUAGGGGAGAUUGGAAUUCCUGGUGUAGCGGUGGAAUGCGCAGAUAUCAGGAGGAACACCGAUGGCGAAGGCAGAUCUCUGGGCCGUAACUGACGCUGAGGAGCGAAAGCGUGGGGAGCGAACAGG